UGGGGAAUUAUUGCGCAAUGGGGGGAACCCUGACGCAGCCAUGCCGCGUGAAUGAAGAAGGCCUUAGGGUUGUAAAGUUCUUUCGGUAUUGAGGAAGGUUGAUGUGUUAAUAGCACAUCAAAUUGACGUUAAAUACAGAAGAAGCACCGGCUAACUCCGUGCCAGCAGCCGCGGUAAUACGGAGGGUGCGAGCGUUAAUCGGAAUAACUGGGCGUAAAGGGCACGCAGGCGGUUAUUUAAGUGAGGUGUGAAAGCCCCGGGCUUAACCUGGGAAUUGCAUUUCAGACUGGGUAACUAGAGUACUUUAGGGAGGGGUAGAAUUCCACGUGUAGCGGUGAAAUGCGUAGAGAUGUGGAGGAAUACCGAAGGCGAAGGCAGCCCCUUGGGAAUGUACUGACGCUCAUGUGCGAAAGCGUGGGGAGCAAACAGGAUUAGAUACCCUGGUAGUCCACGCUGUAAACGCUGUCGAUUUGGGGGUUGGGGUUUAACUCUGGCGCCCGUAGCUAACGUGAUAAAUCGACCGCCUGGGGAGUACGGCCGCAAGGUUAA
rnacentral:rRNA from 1 species